UGGGGAAUAUUGCACAAUGGGCGAAAGCCUGAUGCAGCGACGCCGCGUGAGGGAUGACGGCCUUCGGGUUGUAAACCUCUUUCAGCAGGGACGAAGCGCAAGUGACGGUACCUGCAGAAGAAGCACCGGCUAACUACGUGCCAGCAGCUGCGGUAAUACGUAGGGUGCAAGCGUUGUCCGGAAUUACUGGGCGUAAAGAGUUCGUAGGCGGUUUGUCGCGUCGUUUGUGAAAACCAGCAGCUCAACUGCUGGCUUGCAGGCGAUACGGGCAGACUUGAGUACUGCAGGGGAGACUGGAAUUCCUGGUGUAGCGGUGAAAUGCGCAGAUAUCAGGAGGGACACAGGUGGCGAAGGCGGGUCUCUGGGCAGUAACUGACGCUGAGGAACGAAAGCGUGGGUAGCGAACAGG
rnacentral:rRNA from 1 species